UCCCCUAGUAACUGCGAGUGAAGCGGGAAAAGCUCAAAUUUAAAAUCUGGUAGUCUAUGGCUGCCCGAGUUGUAAUCUAGAGAAGCGUUACCCGCGCUGGACCGUGUAUAAGUGUCCUGGAAUGGACUAUCAUAGAGGGUGAGAAUCCCGUCUUUGACACGGACUCCCAGGGCUUUGUGGUGCGCUCUCAAAGAGUCGAGUUGUUUGGGAAUGCAGCUCUAAAUGGGUGGUAAAUUCCAUCUAAAGCUAAAUAUUGGCGAGAGACCGAUAGCGAACAAGUACCGUGAGGGAAAGAUGAAAAGAACUUUGGAAAGAGAGUUAAACAGUACGUGAAAUUGUUGAAAGGGAAACGCUUGAAGUCAGUCGCGUUGGCUGGGAAUCAACCUUGCUUUUGCUGGGCGUACUUUCCAGUUGACGGGUCAGCAUCAGUUUUGGUCGGUGGAUAAAGGUCAGGGGAAUGUGGCACCUUCGGGUGUGUUAUAGCCCUUGGUUGUAUACACUGGCUGGGACUGAGGAACUCAGCACUUGUGCUUAGGAUGCUGGCAUAAUGGCUUUAAGCGACCCGUCUUGAAACACGGACCAAGGAGUCUAACAUGCCUGCGAGUGUUUGGGUGCAAAACCCGAGCGCGUAAUGAAAGUGAAAGUCGAGAUCCCUGUCGUG
rnacentral:rRNA from 1 species